ACCUAUCCGAUUCCUAUUUCCGCACAAUGCUUCCUUUCCAUACCCAUUCCCCUUCCUGCUCUCAACCUCUUCCACUCUUUCCUGGGAUGUAUAACCUCCUGGUUGAUCUCCCUACUAGAGGAGGAGUUUUAGUCGGUAGGCGCUUCGGCGAAUCCGACAAUACCCCCUUUUAGGGGGUGUCUUUUGAAGAUUUCCCCUCCUCGAGGAAA
rfam:Agrilus planipennis Contig64367, whole genome shotgun sequence.